rnacentral:sRNA from 1 species
GCCACUGUGCCUGGCCCUGAUUUUACUUUGAGCGAGAUGGAAACUAUUGGAAUGUUUUUAGAAGAGGAGUGAUGUGGUCUAACUUGGCAUCAUCAGGUUGUUGGGUUACAAAUAGACAAUAGGGGAACAAGGGCAGAAACAAGGAGGCCAGUGAGGAAGUUAUUGUAAUAAUUUGGGUAGGAAUUGAUAGUGGCUUGGCCCAGGGUGACGGCAGUGGAGGUGGUGGGAAAUUGGAUUCAGGGUAUGUUUUGAAGGUAGCACCACUGCUACACCCCCACCUUCUGGCUCCUCUGUGCCCCUGCCAGUCUUGCCAUGUCCCAGUAGGUUCCCCUUCCACCUGUUCCUGAAUACUCCCACCCAGAAUCUGGAGCUCAGGGGAUGUGCCCACCUAGGUGAUGCUGGCUCUAGCCAGCCACCUGAGCACAGUGGAGUCGGAGAAACAGAAGCUGCGGGCUCAGGUGCGGCGGCUAUGCCAGGAGAACCAGUGGCUGCGGGAUGAGCUGGCUGGCACCCAGCAGCGGCUACAGCGCAGUGAACAGGCUGUGGCUCAGUUGGAGGAGGAAAAGAAGCACCUGGAGUUCCUGGGGCAGCUGCGGCAGUAUGAUGAGGAUGGACAUACCUCGGAGGAGAAAGAAGGCGAUGCCACCAAGGAUUCCCUGGAUGACCUCUUUCCUAACGAGGAGGAAGAGGACCCCAGCAAUGGCUUGUCCCGUGGUCAAGGUGCUACAGCAGCUCAGCAGGGUGGAUAUGAGAUCC